GAUGAACGCUGGCGGUAUGCUUUACACAUGCAAGUCGUACGAGAGUUUUUAACUCAAGUGGCGGACGGGUGAGUAACACGUAAGAAUUUGCCUUUAGGAGGGGGACAACAACUGGAAACGGUUGCUAAUACCCCAUAUGCUUUCGAGUGAAAUGGUUUUUCCGCCUAAAGAGAAGCUUGCGGCUGAUUAGCUUGUUGGUAAGGUAAUGGCUUACCAAGGCGACGAUCAGUAUCUGGUUUGAGAGGACGAUCAGACACACUGGAACUGAGACACGGUCCAGACUCCUACGGGAGGCAGCAGUGGGGAAUUUUCCGCAAUGGGCGAAAGCCUGACGGAGCAAUACCGCGUGAGGGAUGAAUGCCUAUGGGUUGUAAACCUCUUUUUUCAGGGAGGAAUCAAUGA
rnacentral:rRNA from 1 species